UACGUAGGGUGCAAGCGUUGUCCGGAAUUAUUGGGCGUAAAGAGCUCGUAGGCGGUUUGUUGCGUCGGCUGGGAAAUCCCGAGGCUCAACCUCGGGUCUGCAGUCGAUACGAGCAAACUAGAGUGUUGCAGGGGAGACUGGAAUUCCUGGUGUAGCGGUGAAAUGCGCAGAUAUCAGGAGGAACACCGGUGGCGAAGGCGGGUCACUGGCCCGGUACUGACGCUGAGGUGCGAAAGCGUGGGGAGCAAACAGG
rnacentral:rRNA from 1 species